rnacentral:rRNA from 1 species
AGGAGGUUGGCUUAGAAGCAGCCACCCUUGAAAGAGUGCGUAAUAGCUCACUGGUCAAGUGAUUCCGCGCCGACAAUGUAGCGGGGCUCAAGUACACCGCCGAAACCGUGGCAUUCAGUUUUGCUGGAUGGGUAGGGGAGCGUCGUUCACGAGGUGAAGCCAGCGGGUAACUUCUGGUGGAUUGUGGACGAGUGAGAAUGCAGGCAUGAGUAGCGAAAGACGGGUGAGAAACCCGUCCGCCGGAUGACUAAGGGUUCCAGGGUCAAGCUAAUCUGCCCUGGGUAAGUCGGGACCUAAGGCGAGGCCGACAGGCGUAGUCGAUGGACAACGGGUUGAUAUUCCCGUACCAGUGAAGAACCGCCCAUGCUGAGCCGGUGAUACUAACCGCCCGAACCAUCCCGAACCUCGUCUUUGACGGGGUCGGUGAUGGGAGCGCGGGACCUGAACCGGGGAGGCAAGCGCAUUAACAGGUGUGACGCAGGAAGGUAGCCGGGCCGGGCAAUGGAAAUGACCUGGUCUAAGGGUGUAGGGCUGCCGGUAGGUAAAUCCGCCGGCUGUAUGCCUGAGACCUGAUGGGCGCCCACAUGGUGGGUGAUCCGGUGAUCCUAUGCUGCCUAGAAAAGCAUCGGCGCGAGGUUCAAACUGCCCGUACCCUAAACCGACACAGGUGGUCAGGUAGAGAAUACUAAGGCGAUCGAGAGAAUCAUGGUUAAGGAACUCGGCAAAAUGCCCCCGUAACUUCGGGAGAAGGGGGGCCCCAACCUUGAGCACCACGUGCUGGUGUGAGGGGAUCGGGGCCGCAGAGACCAGGGGGAAGCGACUGUUUAUCAAAAACACAGGUCCAUGCGAAGUCGUAAGACGAUGUAUAUGGACUGACUCCUGCCCGGUGCUGGAAGGUUAAGGGGACCCGUUAGCUUCGGCGAAGCGGAGAACUUAAGCCCCAGUAAACGGCGGUGGUAACUAUAACCAUCCUAAGGUAGCGAAAUUCCUUGUCGGGUAAGUUCCGACCUGCACGAAUGGAGUAACGACUUCCCCGCUGUCUCAACCAUGAACUCGGCGAAAUUGCAUUACGAGUAAAGAUGCUCGUUACGCGCAGAAGGACGGAAAGACCCCGUGACCUUUACUAUAGUUUGGUAUUGGUAUUCGGUGUGACUUGUGUAGGAUAGGUGGGAGACUGUGAAGCGGACACGCCAGUGUUCGUGGAGUCGCCGUUGAAAUACCACUCUGGUCACUCUGGAUAUCUAACUUCGGCCCGUGAUCCGGGUCAGGGACAGUGCCUGAUGGGUAGUUUAACUGGGGCGGUUGCCUCCUAAAAUGUAACGGAGGCGCCCAAAGGUUCCCUCAGCCUGGUUGGCAAUCAGGUGUCGAGUGCAAGUGCACAAGGGAGCUUGACUGUGAGAGUGGCAGCUCGAGCAGGGACGAAAGUCGGGACUAGUGAUCCGGCGGCUCGUUGUGGAACGGCCGUCGCUCAACGGAUAAAAGGUACCUCGGGGAUAACAGGCUGAUCUUGCCCAAGAGUCCAUAUCGACGGCAUGGUUUGGCACCUCGAUGUCGGCUCGUCGCAUCCUGGGGCUGGAGUAGGUCCCAAGGGUUGGGCUGUUCGCCCAUUAAAGCGGUACGCGAGCUGGGUUCAGAACGUCGUGAGACAGUUCGGUCCCUAUCCUCUGCGCGCGUUGGAAAUUUGAGAAGGUCUGUCCUUAGUACGAGAGGACCGGGACGGACGAACCUCUGGUAUGUCAGUUGUACCGCCAGGUGCAUGGCUGAUUAGCUACGUUCGGGAUGGAUAACCGCUGAAAGCAUCUAAGCGGGAAGCCGGCUUCGAGAUGAGAUUUCCUUGCCCCUUUGAGGGUGUGAGGCCCCCAGCUAGAACACUGGGUUGAUAGGCUGGAUGUGGAAGCGAGGACUGAAGACUCGUGAAGCUGACCAGUACUAAUAGGCCGAUGACUUACACACA